CCUUUGCGCGGUCCAGUCUCGCGCUUAUCCCUCUCCCGCUCCGCUUCCCCGGCCUCCCUCCCCACUACAAUUGCAGACCCCGCCCUUACUGCCAUGAGAGCACCAGUUUGGCGGGAGCGGUGCUUCCUGGCGUGGAGGGGAACUUGAGGUCCUAUUCAUUUGCUUGGUCCUCUGGGUCCUGUCUUUUGUACGGCAAAGACUCAUCUAAUAUAUCUCUUUGGGCUGAGUUCCAGGGACUGGCCUGAAGAAUCCUUAAUUAAAACAAUUCCUUAUGGUGGACAAAGGUGGACUCUGUAAUUACAAUAGUGCAGUCAUAGUCCAUUACAUUGCUAUACCACAGUUUAUUCAUCUGUUUCCCGGUCGUUGGACAUAUGACAGGACUGAAACUGAGAGCAUGGAGUCUGUUCCGAAGUGGGAAAUUUCUGAAGAAGUCCAAUCACAGGGCAUAUUAUCAUCAGGAUUCCCAAGGAACAUUCUCAUGGGUCCCAACUGUGGACAAGCCUCUGGCAGUGAUUGUAGGUUAGAGACACAGCCUAAAAAGCCACUGCGACACAGUCUCUCGUUAUCUUUCUCAGGAAAAAGGUUUCAGGCAUAUAACAUUUAGCAGAAGAGUGUCCUCACUGGGGAGAGAGGCUGUGUAUGUUAUCGAAUGUGAGACAAUUUUAAAACCCUCUUACAUAAGAGAGAUCCUGUAGAAGGGAGUGCCCAGGAAUAUGGUUUAUAUGACCACAGCUUCAAGCAGGAUGCAGUUUUUAAGAUGACAGAGAGAAACUCUAUGAAACGAAUCUGGGGAGAAAAAAAACCAAACAACCUCCUACAAAGUUAAAUCAGAACUUAUUCAUCAUCAGGAAAUACAUAGGACAGAGAAACCUAUUGAGUGUAAUGAAUGUGAGAAAGGACCGACUCAAACCAUAUCAGAACCCCAGAAAAUUCAUACUAAAAAGAGACCUUGUGACUCUAAAGACUAGAAGAGUCUCCAGCAGGAGCUCAUCUGACGUUAAACAUCAGAGAAUCUACAGUGAAAUUAAAUCCUAGAAAUUUAAUGAGUGUGGAGAAACCUUUAGCAGUAGCGUUUUGAAUACGAGAGAAUUGAAUUGACAGUGGAGAGAAACUCUGUGAAGAUAAUGGAUGUGGGAAAGCCUUCUAUCAAUUCAAACCUCAUUAGAUAUCAGAAUUUACAUGGAGCCCCGUGAAUGUAAAUAAUGUGGGAAGCUCUUCAAGUAGAGUUCAGCAUGCCUUGAUCAGAAAAUUCAAGCUAGAUUGACUUUCUGUGUAAUGAAUAUGGGAAAGCCUUCAUGGAGCACAUCUUGAUUGCACUUAAGAUAAGUCAUAUUUGAGAAAUAUCCUAUGAAGGGAAAGAAUGUUGGAAAAUCUUCAGGUAGAUCUUUGAUGCUAUUAAAUAUCAGAGUGGAAAGAAACCCUUAUGAAUGUAAACAGUGUGUUUAAGGCUUCAACUAGAGCUUGGACCUCAUUCAGCAUCAGAAAAUUCAAACCUGAUAUUUGAACCUUUGAAUGCAAUUAAUAUAGGAAUGAGAUCUACAGAUUUGUUGCAUCUCAAAGUAUCCAGACUAGCACUAGAUUUUAUAAAACUUUGAAAUUAAAGACCCUGAUAUUGCCAGGGUAAAAGACUAGAACCUACUACGAGUUUCUUUCUUGAAUCAACUGCUCUCCCUAAGCACUCUUACCACAGUGAGCCCUGUAGAAGCUGCCUUCCCUGCAUAUUAUCAAGUUGAUGACCUCGAACAUAUGAAACAACCCUUUCAAGCCUCUUGAAGAAGUCAUACCCCCAUCAGCUUAGCUCUUACCUAUUGACCACCUCUCUUUUUAGUCUGACCUGCCUUGUUCUUUUUCCCAACAACAACAACAACAAGAACAACAACAAAGCACCAGGUUUGGACCCGUGCUCCACCCACAUCCACAGAGGCUCCUCCUAGCUCAAGCCAAGGAUGGGGAAGGGUGUCACAAUGUUGGGAAAACUUUUGACUCAGUAUCUUUGAUUAUCAACUUUGUGCUAUUGCUGUCUUGGGUUUGGGGUAGUGCCUAUCUAUGCGUGCCUUUUGGGAUGUUUGGGAGUUGGGCAAGUUUUAUGAGAUUGUUUAGAUACCUGUUACUGCAGUUUUGUGUUCCAUCUUGUGUUUUGGCAAAGGUUUGUGUAGACCUUCCUUAACGUAGAUCUAAGCCCUCACCUUUUACUAAGAAAAGAUACUUUAUUUUCUUGUUUUCUUGGGUGAUCAGAAACUAGAGGGCAAGGGAUCAAGGAAGGGGAGGGAGCUUUGAAUUUGGAAAGUUUACUGGCACUGGAAUGACAAUAUGGAUGUAUUUAAUGCUGGAAGUUCAGGACAAUCAGGGUUGAACCCCUGUGCCCUGUAUAGGUGGGGCACACCCUAGCUUGAGAAACCCUAGAUUGAGUUGGUAGCUAUACGAGCGACAUGUAUCCAUAUAUACAUGUGUAUGUGGAUAUAUGUAUAUAUAGAUACACCUGUAUAUAUGUGUGUGUGUGUGUGUG